rnacentral:rRNA from 1 species
AGUGAACGCUGGCGGCGUGCCUAAUACAUGCAAGUCGAACGCAGUGGCGCACGGGUGAGUAAUGUAUAGCUAAUCUGCCCUACACUAUACGCCAACAGUUGGAAACGGCUUCUAAUACUCUUUCGUGUAGGCUGUGGCUAUAUUGUCUCAGCUAGUUGGUGAGGUAAUGGCUCACCAAGGAUAUGACGCAUAACUGGUCUGAGAGGAUGAGCAGUCACACUGGAACUGAGACACGGUCCAGACUCCUACGGGAGGCAGCAGUAGGGAAUAUUGCUCAAGGGGCGAAACCCUGAAGCAGCAACGCCGCGUAGAGGAUGACACUUUUAGGAGCGUAAACUCCUGUUGUUAGGGAAGCGGUACCUAACGAAUAAGCAACGGCUAACUCCGUGCCAGCAGCCGCGGUAAUAC